rnacentral:tRNA from 1 species
GGGCGAUUAGCUCAGUUGGUUAGAGUGCUGGUCUCACAUACCAGAGGUCAAAGGUUCGAAUCCUUUAUCGCCCA